rnacentral:rRNA from 1 species
UACGGGAGGCAGCAGUGGGGAAUAUUGCACAAUGGGCGCAAGCCUGAUGCAGCCAUGCCGCGUGUAUGAAGAAGGCCUUCGGGUUGUAAAGUACUUUCAGUCGUGAGGAAGGUGUUAAGGUUAAUAACCUUAGCAAUUGACGUUAGCGACAGAAGAAGCACCGGCUAACUCCGUGCCAGCAGCCGCGGUAAUACGGAGGGUGCGAGCGUUAAUCGGAAUUACUGGGCGUAAAGGGCACGCAGGCGGUUAAUUAAGUUGGAUGUGAAAUCCCCGGGCUUAACCUGGGAAUGGCAUUCAAGACUGGUUAGCUAGAGUCUUGUAGAGGGGGUAGAAUUCCAUGUGUAGCGGUGAAAUAGCGUAGAGAUGUGGAGGAAUACCGGUGGCGAAGGCGGCCCCGUCGGACAACGGACUGACGCUCAUGUGCGAAGCGUGGGGAGCAACAGGGAUUAGAUA